rnacentral:tRNA from 1 species
GAGGGCAUAGCUCAGUGGUAGAGUGCAUGCCUAGCACACACGAGGUCCUGGGUUCAACCCCAGUACCUCCA